CCCGCGCCUCUCCCACCACACCUCCCUGCAAGCUGAGGGAGCCGGCUCCGGCCCUGGCCAGGCUAGAAAGGGGCUCCCACAGUGCAGGGGCGGGCUGAAGGGCUCCUCAAGUGCCGCCAAAGUGGGAGCCCAGGCAGAGGAGGUGCCCAGAGCGAGCGAGGGCUGCGAGGACUGCCGGCAGCUGUCACCUCUCGUUACCAUCACUCCUAGUGACCAUUUUGGAUAAUCCACCUUGCCUCAUCAAACCAGAAAACAAUUCAAACCUGGCCUCCUUCCAACUGGAAGCCACAUUUUAAGAACUUAUUGUGAAGAACUGGAAAGCCUCCAAUAGAACAGAAGCUAAAAGCAGAAAUUAUAAAAGCUGUUACACCUACUCAGCUCUAUCACAUGUUGGAAAAACUGAACCAGAGAAACAAUUACAUACACUCUGUCUUCUGGAAAAGCUGAAUUGGGUUUUGGUCUGAAUCAAUAGCUGGUGCAAAGGAACUGGGCUUAGGCAUGCCAAACACAUCCCAUUUAGGUCUUUGAAUCUGUAACAGUCUCCACAAAGAAGCAGAAAUGGCAAGAACAAGAUCCGAUUCCCAGGACAGCAAUGACAGUGAUCAGAAUAAGUCUAUGAUGCUUUCCUUCAGUUUCAACUAAGAUUGAUUGAAAUUGGAUACGAAACAGAAAAAAAGAGAGAGAGAGAGAGAGUAAAGAUAAUGGAUCCUUGAGGAAUCACCACACUGUCUUCCACAAUGGUUGAACUAGUUUACAGUCCCACCAACAGUGUAAAAGACCCAUUAUACAGGCUGCCUUUCCAGCUCUCCAAUCAUACUUCCAAGAAAACUGCUCACUCUCAGAACCAAGGUUCAAGUUGUACAUUGGGAUUUGGGUAGAGCAGCCUUUUCAUCCCUUGGUCCCAGUCAAAACUAUAGUGAAUUUCAGGAAUAGUAAAGAAUAGAAGUCACCAUAGAAUGAGCUACCAACCCUAGGACGAUAAAGUCUUUAUUUCCCUGCAGAAGAUUUAAAAAAGACACUAAAGAAGACUCUCAAGACUUAACCACAAUUCUUACAAAUCUACACCUUACUGAAGGAGAAGGAUAAAAUAUAGCAUCAGCAUUUUAGUAAGAAUAUGCAUCCCAGCCAAAGGCUGUCUUACAGCAAGGGGUCCAGAGUGGUCUGAUGCAGGCUCCAAUUGUCCUCUUUUCUGCGAGGCCAUACUGGAUGCACUUUCUCACUUGCAUCAGUGACAUCCAACAUGUGCAUGGGACACCUAGAAAACAGGGGCUCCAAAUAAAGUCUUGGUUGGGUCUUCUCAUAUUCUACUGAUCCAAAGGGUCAUCACUGUUAUGUGACUUGCCAUAAUGGUGGAGUCCACUGGCAUCACACCUGAACAGGGUAUAAACUGUCAAUCUUGCUGUUACUAAUAGCCUAUACUGACAAGCUGGAACAAACUGUCCUGAAAGUUGUCUGAUAAGUAUGGUUAUAAAAUUAUACCAUUAAUUAUGUUUUUUUCAUCCCAAGGCCAAGGCUCAGCAUUAUUAAGUUAUAUCUCUUACAAAGCAGCUUAGGACAAUCCCAAAAUAGAAGUAGCACUCAUAGCACAGGAUCCAAAUAGGUUUCACAAACUGCUAAGCAUAUGAACUUAGAAGGACACUUAUAGUAUUAAUAGAGCAAUUCAAAAUACUGGGGUUUAAGGAUGAGCAUACUUCUUGGCAAGGGACAUAUCUGCAUUGUCUGAAGUUAUUUCCAAACUGCAUCCCACCCCCCCGCCCCACUUCAGUGUCUUCCAAAACUUAAAGACUGUCGUUGUGCUGAGGCACCGAAACUGAGGCUGGUAUGUUUUAGGAGUACUUGCUAUUCUAGUUACUAUUCUGUGUGUAACAUAUUGCCUCACAACUUAGAUACUUAAAACAACUAUUUUAUUAGACUUGCUGAAUUUAUGCUUCAAGAAUCUGGAAAGAGUUCAUCAUGAUGGAGUAUCUACUCUGCUAUGUCUGGGGCCUCAGCUGGAAGGACUUGAAGGCUAGGGGCUGGAAUCUUCUCAAAGACUCCAUCAGUCACAUGUCUGAUGGUUGAUGCUGGUUGCCAGCAAAGACUUCAGCUGUGCUCAGCCAGAACACCUACACACAACAUCAACAUCCACCAGCACCUCUCUCUGGGGGGUCACGUCACAGCAGGUAGCCAAAUAUUUCUUACAUGGUGCCUCAGGGCUCCAAAAUUGAGUGCACAAAGAGAGAGGAAGUAGAAAUGUCAGUUUUUGUUUUUGUUUUUUUUCCAAAGUUCUGGAAACUAGUCCAGCAUAACUUCCACUAUGCUCCAUUGGUCAAGCAGUCACAGGGCCCAAAUUCCAGAGAUGGUUCAGGAUAUAGAUCCCACAUCUCAAUAGGGGGAGUAUCAAAGAAUUUGGGAGCUAUGUUAUAAAACUGUGACAUCUGCCUACAAUAAAAUGAUUUCAUGUUUGGCU